GGCGGAAACAACAGGGUCAUGACUGGUCACACUAAUUCUGGGAUGGGCGCCCGAGUACCUUCGGGCUCAUAACCCGAAGGUCGCAGGUUCAAAUCCUGCCCCCGCCACCA
rnacentral:tRNA from 1 species